AACAGGAUUAGAUACCCUGGGUAGUCCACGCCGUAAACGAUGUCGAUUUGGGGGUUGUGCCCUUGAGGCGUGGCUUCCGGAGCUAACGCGUUAAAUCGACCGCCUGGGGAGUACGGCCGCAAGGUUAAAACUCAAAUGAAUUGACGGGGGCCCGCACAAGCGGUGGAGCAUGUGGUUUAAUUCGAUGCAACGCGAAGAACCUUACCUGGUCUUGACAUCCACAGAACUUAGCAGAGAUGCUUUGGUGCCUUCGGGAACUGUGAGACAGGUGCUGCAUGGCUGUCGUCAGCUCGUGUUGUGAAAUGUUGGGUUAAGUCCCGCAACGAGCGCAACCCUUAUCCUUUGUUGCCAGCGGUCCGGCCGGGAACUCAAAGGAGACUGCCAGUGAUAAACUGGAGGAAGGUGGGGAUGACGUCAAGUCAUCAUGGCCCUUACGACCAGGGCUACACACGUGCUACAAUGGCAUAUACAAAGAGAAGCGACCUCGCGAGAGCAAGCGGACCUCAUAAAGUAUGUCGUAGUCCGGAUUGGAGUCUGCAACUCGACUCCAUGAAGUCGGAAUCGCUAGUAAUCGUAGAUCAGAAUGCUACGGUGAAUACGUUCCCGGGCCUUGUACACACCGCCCGUCACACCAUGGGAGUGGGUUGCAAAAGAAGUAGGUAGCUUAACCUUCGGGAGGGCGCUUACCACUUUGUGAUUCAUGACUGGGGUGAAGUCGUAACAAGGUACC
rnacentral:rRNA from 1 species